GUCUCUAAUUUUUAAGUUGGAAUGUGUUUUGGGUUUUUUUGUUGAAGGUCUGUUCAGAAAAGCCUUUUGCAAAGAACACUGUGCAAAAUAACAUUUUAGCAGACCUUAUUUUAAGUUUCUUUUAAGGGAUUGAGGCCAUUAUUCACCUCUGGAUUCUGAAUGAUACCUAGUUGAUACAAUGAGAGAAGAGUCUGUUAAGAACAUUAGAACCUGAAGUGAAAGCAUCAUUGUUCAAAGUUCUGUUUAUUCUUUCAAAACUGCCUUCCAUGUUUGUAUAAAACCAUGUAGAGAUGAGUAAAGGUGGCUGGUAUUACUGCAGUUCUUUUGGGGUCAUUCAAAGAAAUCUACACUGUUAUUUGCAGAUCUACCUUGUCUGAAUGACUGUUCUGACACUUCAAACAGCUCCACCUAUCUUGCAUCUCUCUGUGAGCCAUGUUCUGUUGCUAAAUGACUAAAGAGCAUGACUUAACUGAAGAAACUAAUGUGUGGUUGGUUGGUGUUUUAGGAACUCUACUUGCUUAAAGCUUUUUUGAAAGGAAGUGAGAAAAUAAGUUCUAAAAUUUGCCUUUUGAAAGUCUAUAAAGGUUCGGUGUUUAUUUUCUGAUUUAAAUAAAAGGCAUAAUGGGCAAAGUAGGUAUUUGUUAUACUUAAGAAAAUUGUACCUCAAAACAUUUUAUGUUUUCAAAGAUGUCUUACAGGUAUUGGGUAUUUAAGACCAUAUUUUUAAAAUUCUAUGGGAAAGGCUGAUACAUUUCCCUAGGCACCUGUCAAAGCCCCAAACAAAAGUCCAGAUUUUUGACUUACAUCAAAUAUUAUGCUAAUGGCAUAAGGAGAAUUACAUGUGUCAUCAGUCAGUACAGAAUUUGGGCUUUUGCUGAGAGAGAACAUGCUAAAUACUGUGGUGAAGCUGCAAAUAUUUUUCAUAAUAGGUAUUCACCGAAUAACUUAAGAAUAACAGAUGUGUAAUAUAACAAAUCUUAUUUUCUGAAAGAUGUGCUCUUGUUUCAAGAGCAUAGAGUUGAAAUGUUGGGGUUUUUUUAAUUUGGUGCACGAAAGGGCAUAUGAAGACAGAAGAAUCCAUAAAUAAUGCUAAGGUCCUAGGCAGCCUGCCAUUCUGACAGCAUAUUUUAUAAACAACCAUAAAUAACACUCCCUGUAGCAUAUCAGAGACAAUUAUACCAUGCCAUCAGCACCAUUGUUCUGAUUUACUGGAAUCUUUGAAGAAAAGAAAUACUCACCUGUCAUGCCAAACUGCAAAGCUCUAAUAUGGUUGAUAUUUUUUCCUCAGGGUUCAUUAUAUUUGGCUCUUGUUUUUUGUGAUUUUCUGCUUGUUUUGUGUUUCUAAUACAGUCAAGAACAAAUUUAGAUUUUUUUUUUGAACCAAAAUGCUUGAAUGACUGAAACAGAGUAUAGGUGCAAAUCCUGUAGUACUACUAAAUAAGUAUUAUGCUCUUAUGAAAAAAAAAAAAAAAAUUAUGGCUCUUCUGAGCAAAAUCCUUUUUUUUUGGAAGUGUCUCAAGGAGCAGUAGCAAAAUAACAGGAUUAGAAGGAUAGUGGGAAAGUGGUGAGGCCUGAGGACAGAAGGAUUCCCAAGCAAAGGUUAUUAUUAGGUGAGUGUUUCUGUGUGUACUACCAUGUGACUCAGGUGUCUUUCUAGAGGAGAAGUGCUGUGAUGCAAUGAAUGGCACUGUAGAUUGGCUGGUAGGUUCUGCAGCAACAGAUGUUAAAUAGCUUCAUUGGCAAAGGGGUAACCCUAGGAAAGUUUUCUAAUAAGGGUUGGAUUUUAUGGGACAUAAAUUCCUAUUGGAAAUUAGAGCAAACAACAGUCUUGGGAACCUUAACAUUUUUCAAACAUGAAUAUAAAUGUCUAGCCCCAUUACGUUAGAUAUCUAGUACUUUGAGACUCACUGAUUCUGUAUAAUCUUUCAGAGGAAAAAUGAGUGGAAAUUCUGAGGUGCUUUCCUGGGUAAAAAGGCCAAACAAAAGUUUAGAAGUUACAUAUGGUAUGGUGAUCCAACAUGUGACGUUCAUGCUCUCAUUUUUUCUAGUGUUAGGGACAUGUAGGCUUGACUUUAUUGGGAAAUGUCUACUUUGCCAUCUGUGUGAAGCUUGUGUAAGUAUACUUCAGCUCUGCAGGAAGGUGGCAUAGGUGCUAAAACAACAUAUCCUUGACAAGCUAGGCCUGAACCUGUGACUACCUAUCAAGGGUUUUGUCUUGGUGCUUGCUGAAGGUCUUAAAGCCAUUCAGUGUGGUGGUGUAUAUCGGUUGUUUGGUUUGGUUUUGGGGGUUUGUGUGUGGGGUUUUUUUUUUCUUCUUGUGGUUGGUUUUGUUCUGGUUUUGUUAAAAUUACCUCUCAUGUUUGAACCACAACUACAGAGUAGGUAAAGCCUUGGAAAUUAAAGAGGUCAGAUUUCUUAACCCACUUGCUUAUUAGAGCAUCCUAUAACACUUUGUAACAAGAGGAAACUUGACCUGAUAGCCUGGCCAGAAUGCAAGUUAAACAGCUUGUUUGGUCUGCUUCCAGUUUCACAGAUUGAUGUAGUCUUUGGCCAGUGUUUUGAAAAGCUCUUUAAUGUCAUACAUAGUUUAAAAGCUGUAUUUGUCAGGUGAAAUUAUUGUAUUCUAUAGUUCACAAAGCUUUUGCAGAAGGGGUUUGGAAAACUAAAGAGUGUAAUCUAAUGUCACUGUAUUUCAAAGCUGAUGCUGUUCUGAAAUAAAAAAAGAAACAGCAUUAUUUAGCUAGCCCACAGCAUGCAAAACUUAGCAGAAUUUAAUGAUUUAUGGACACUUUUGACAAAAUAAGAUGAUCUCCUGUCUUGCAGGAAGUAUGUGUCAGUAAGAAGUAGAAUUCAGCAAAUUAAUGCAAAUAGAUAGUUAUUAGAUGGUAGCCAUCUGGAGUAGAAACAAUAUUGCACAGAAAGUUUCAUAAGAUUAAUUUUGUGUGUAAUGGAUAGAGGGUUACUUUAAACUGUCUGGUUUGUAAAAAAGUGCUUGUGUUUUCUGAAGUCUGAGCAUUCUUGUAAAUGUAGAACAAAUAUUUUACUUUAUAAAGCAAUAAUUAUAAAACAUUUCCUUGCAAAUAUUGUUUACUUUAUCACUUUCCAAGUGUGCUGGAUUCUUCCUCAUUAUUUAUUUUACACACAUUUCAGAUUUUUCCAGUCCCAAUGAAAUAAUUGGAGUAUAGGCUUAUUAGAAUAAAGAGCUACUAAAAAUACUAUUUAAAGAAUGAUUGACCAAUGAAAUGGGACAGAUUGACAGACCUUGAUAAAGAGGAAUCCUAGAUAAUUAUCAAGCUGAAUUUUGGGCUUAUUCUUUAGGAUUCCUCUGUGAUUACAAAAGAAAGCCAUCAAUACUUCUGAUAAGUAAAAGGCUUGGCUGUUUCUUGGCUUCAUAGGCUGUUUUUUUACAAAACAGACCAAUAUAAAUUGACAAUAUACAGGAUUAUUUUUGAAAACUCACUGGAUUUAUGAUUAAAGAGUUUGUGCUGUGCUUUUUUCAUCCUGCAUGCUGAUGUGUGCACUAGAAUGCUGGCUUCCAAUUGUGCAAGAUAUUCCCAUAGGAUUUUUCCAGUAUACUCAGUGUUUAAUCUUUUAUAAGACUCUUCUAGCAGAUGGCUUCUGCAUUGUGCAUAUUCAUUGUAAUUUCUACAAACACAAACAUUUAAUCACUUCUCUCUGAAACAAAUCCAGAGUUCCAUGCCACUUUCUAUUGAAGCUUCUAUUUUAAGGAAGCUUUUGACAACUUCUUACUUCCCAAAUGGGUCUUCAUCCGUUGAAGUCCAGAAGCUGACCUUUUAUUGAAAUAAAAUCCCAUCCAGAUGUAAUUCAGCUGCAAAUUAGUUAUAACUGAAGUAACUGAGUAGAAUCCAGCCCCCACUAGAUUCACUGGUUCAUUGGACUACAUCUAGGUCAACUAAUUCAGAUUGAAUAGGUAUACAUUCGCUAGGCCUAAAAUAAUAAAAAAAAAUUUAGGCAGACAAUUGUAAUUUUCUGUAGAAUUUCAAAGUCCAAAUAUGAAACUCAUACUGCUAAAAAUUCUUUAAUAUUUAUUUAAAUUAAUACUAGGAAGCCUUAGGAGAAAGAUGUGAUUUUUGUAUAGAUACAAAAAAGAAACUAUCUUUUUUACGUCCUCCUAUUUUUUUUUCCCUUUCCCUGAUUAUGGCAUAUGAUUCAGGGGAAAAUGAUUCUAAAAACAAUCUCUUUUUGUUAUACUUAUGUGAAUGAUGUUCUAGUGAAAAUUAUGCAUUAAAGUAUGGUGUUGCUUAGCAAAAAUGUCAGAACUGCCUGUGGGAAGUACAAAUCAUUGAAGAAAUUUAUUGUAAUUUUUUUGACAGAUGAAUUCUGGAAAAGAGAAGAAAUAUUAAGAGAGAAAAAGGAGAAUCAAGUGUCUGUCUUUAUAUAGCACAGUAUUCUGGCUCACGCGUUUUCUCAGAACCAGGGUUAUUUGGCUGAUAUUUAAUGAGAGGUUAACAAAAUAGGUUGCAAUUCCAAAUCAAUGCCAGUUUGCAACAAUGCCUGGAAACUAGUAAUUGCCUCCAUUCCAUAAAUGAAAAUACAGAGUGCUCUCUGACUAUUGUUAUGUGUCAUGACUGUUACCAGCAAGCACCAAACCUUUGCUCUGGUUGUGAAAUGGGAUACAAAAUGCCAAGCAAGCUCUGGAAUACCAAGCAAACACUGGUCAAUACAUGGCACAGCAUAGAUGUCACAUGAAGAGACAGAAACAGUGUAGCUGUGUUAGAGUGGGCAGUUUGAAAGCAUGUUGACAUAGGUGGGUUGGUUUGUGGCUGGCAGCAGCUCAGUUAAUCCUUUGCUUGUCUUUGUCAUGUGAUGUAGACAGGCAUCAGAGUGAGGGUUUUGGUCAUAGUUCGUUAUGUAAUAAUUUGGACUCAGCUCAAUGACUUUGAAUUAUAGAAUAACGCACGUAUCCAGAACAACCUAGAAUCUGAAACAUGAACCCUGUAUUGGCUGUGCUGGUCCAGGAAUUUACAUUUAAUUAAUUCAUAGACUUGCUAUCUGAGUCUUGUCUUCAGUAGUUCUGCACCAUUUUAACAUCUGCUGAGAAUCUGACUCACUUGAAUGAUUAUAAUGGAGAAGACUAGUUCAGUAGGUUUUGAAUUUGAGGAAGAAAACCCCACUAUCCUGAAAGUUGUUCAAGGAAAAUUGUUAACUUCUGGUUAUUAUGUAUUGUCAAUGAGGAAGUUCAGGACUGAAAAAGAGUUCAAAAUCCAGAUAGCCAGUCAAUCACCUGUUAGUUAAAGACAGGUAAUACAUACAGACAAGCUAGUACGCCCCUUGGAUAGCAGGAUUCAGAGGUACCUGUGAAGUCUGGUGAUAGUAUACAGAUAAGUGAAAUUUGUGUGGUUUGGGGGUUUUCUCUCCCACCAUUCUUCAGCACUAAUGUGUUAAAUUUGACAACUGUUUUUUAGUGCUGUAAUGAUAUUUGUGAUAUAGUACUAUCUCAGGAUGACUUUUGCAUGGUUUUGAGUGCAAUUUAGGUUAGAUAAAUAAAUAAAGCUGUACUUAGAAAUACUUAAAUUUAGUAUUUUGUAAUGUUAAUAUUCAUAUACUAAUGAUUAAGCAGAAGAUAAA